rnacentral:rRNA from 1 species
UUAAAUUGAAGAGUUUGAUCAUGGCUCAGAUUGAACGCUGGCGGCAGGCCUAACACAUGCAAGUCGAACGGUAACAGGAAAAAGCUUGCUGUUU